rnacentral:rRNA from 1 species
GACGAACGCUGGCGGCGUGCUUAACACAUGCAAGUCGAACGGAAAGGCCCUGCUUUUGUGGGGUGCUCGAGUGGCGAACGGGUGAGUAACACGUGAGUAACCUGCCCUUGACUUUGGGAUAACUUCAGGAAACUGGGGCUAAUACCGGAUAGGAGCUCCUGCUGCAUGGUGGGGGUUGGAAAGUUUCGGCAGUUGGGGAUGGACUCGCGGCUUAUCAGCUUGUUGGUGGGGUAGUGGCUUACCAAGGCUUUGACGGGUAGCCGGCCUGAGAGGGUGACCGGCCACAUUGGGACUGAGAUACGGCCCAGACUCCUACGGGAGGCAGCAGUGGGGAAUAUUGCACAAUGGGCGGAAGCCUGAUGCAGCAACGCCGCGUGCGGGAUGACGGCCUUCGGGUUGUAAACCGCUUUCGCCUGUGACGAAGCGUGAGUGACGGUAAUGGGUAAAGAAGCACAGGCUAACUACGUG